rnacentral:lncRNA from 1 species
GGUGGAUAUAUGCUUGGUGCACCAAUGACAACAUAACUGUCCUUGGGAGAAUUUCCACUGUCAACAGGCAUUGCCUCCCUAGGAGUGUAGCGGGUUUGGGAGAAGACAGUUCUGCCACUCUCGUAGUGCGAUUUGGAACUGUAGGAAUAGAUUGGGAUGACACCCAACUGUUCAACGAUGCUGGCCUGAGAGCUACCACAGGCACAAUCUUCAGUGCUUUCGUAGUGCUUCUGCUGAGACAUUGGGGCCAGUUGCUUCUGGGGCAUUUGAGCUACAUGCCAUAAUAGCUGAGGCAUGGGGGUCAGUUGCUGCUGUGGCAUGGCAGUGUGUUGCUUCCGCUGCUGGGACAUUUGCGCUGGAUACCUCACUUGCUGGGGUAUGGUGGCCGGUUGCUUCUGCAGCUGGGGCUUUUGAGCUGGAUACACUGGUUGCUGGGGAAUGGUGGUCGGUUCGUUCUGCUGUGGUUCAGCAGCCGAUUGCUUCUGCGGUAUUUGAGCUGGUUGCCACUCUUGCUGAGGCAUGUUGGUCAGUUGCUUCUGCGGUAGCGGCAUGGAGGCCAGUUGCUGCUGGGACAUUUGAGCUGGAUACCACACUUGCUGGGAUACGGCAGUCGGUUGCUCCUGCGGUAGAGGCAUGGAGGCCGGUUGCUUCUGCUGCUGGGGAAAUUGAGCUGGAUGCCACACUUGCUCGGGAAUGGAGGUCGGUUCAAUUUGCUGCUGAGGUUCAGCGGCCGGUUGCUUCUGCAGCUGGGGCUUUUGAGCUGGAUACACUGGUUGCUGUGGAAUGGUGGUCGGUUGCUUCUGCGGCAUGGAGGCCAGAUGCUUCUGAGGCAUUUGAGCUGGAUACCACACUUGCUGGGAUACGGCAGUCAGUUGCUCCUGCGGUAGAGGCGUGGAGGCCGGUUGCUUCUGCUGCUGGGGAAAUUGAGCUGGAUGCCACUCUUGCUUAGUUAUGGCGGUCAGUUCCUUCUGCCUCCGAGUUGCAGCGGCUUGUAUCUUCUGGACCAUUUUAGCUGGAUACCACACAUCGUGAGUCUGCUGGGGCAUAGGGGCCUGUUGCUUCUGCGCCAGAUGCCACACUUGCUGAAGCAUGGUAGACGGUUGCUUAUGCUGCUGGGGCAUUUGAGCCAUUUGCCACAGUUGUUGGGGUAUGGCAGUCAGUUCCUUCUGCGCUAGAUGCAUAGGGGCUGGUUGCUUCUGCUCCUGGGGAAAUUGAUCUGAAUGCCACACUUGCUGAGGUGGCUGGGGCAUGGCGGUCGGUUCAAUUUGCUGCUGAGGUUCAGUAGCUGGUUGCUUUUGCUGCUGAGGCAUUUGAGCUGGAUGCCACACUUGCGGGGGCAUGGUGGCCAGUUGCUUCUGCGGUUGAGGCAUUGGGGCUGGUUGCUUCUGCAGCAUGGUGGCCAGUUGUUUCUGCUGCUGGGGAAUGUGAGCUGGACACCACACUUGCUGGGGCAUGGAGCUUGGUUGCGUCUGCAGCAUUUGAGGUGGAUGCCACUCUUGCUGGGGCAUGGUGGCCGGUUCAUUGUGCUGUGGUUCAGCAGCCGGUUGCUUCUGCGGUAUUUGAGCCGUUUGCCACAGUUGGGGUAUGGCAGUCAGUUCCUUCUGUGCUACACGCAUAGGGGCUGGUUGCUUCUGCUCCUGGGGAAAUUGAUCUGGUUGCCACACUUGCUGAGGUGGCUGAGGAAUGGAGGUCGGUUCAAUUUGCUGCUGAAGUUCUGCGGCCGGUUGCUUCUGCAUCUGGGGCUUUUGAGCUGGAUACCACACUUGUUGAGGUAUGGCGGUAAGUUCCUUCCGCGGUAAAGGCAUUAGGGCUGGUUGCUUCUGCUGCUGGGGAAAUUGAGCUGGAUGCCACUCUUGCGUAGUUAUGGCGUUAAGUUCCUUAUGCCGCCGAGUUGCAGCGGCUUGUUGCUUCUGGACCAUUUUAGCUGGAUACCACACAUCGUGAGGCAUCUGGGGCAUGGUGGCCUGUUGCCGCACUUGCUGAAGCAUGGCAGCCAGUUGCUUAUGCUGCUGGGGCAUUUGAGCAUACUGCCACAGUUGUGGUGGAAUGGCAGUCAGUUCCUUCUGCGGUUGAUGCAUAGGGACAUGUUGCUUCUGGGGAAAUUGAGCUGGAUGCCACACUUGCUGAAGAAGCUGGGGCAUGGCGGACAGUUCCUUCUGCUGCUGAGGUUCAGUGGCUGGUUGCUUUUGUUGCUUGGGCAUUUGAGCUGGAUGCCACACUUGCUGGGGCAUGGUGGCCGGUUGCUUCUGCAGUGGAGGCAUUGGGGCUGGUUGCUUCUGCUGCAUUUGAGCUGGAUACCAUGCUUGCUGGGGCAUAGCGGUUGGUUGUUUCUGCAGUAUAGGAAUUGGAGCCAGUUGCUUCUGGGGCAUGGUGGUCAGUUCCUUCUGCUGCUGGGGAAUUUGUACUGGAUACCACACUUGCUGAGGUAGCUGGGGUAUGGAGGCCUGUUCCUUCUGAUGCUGAAGUUCAGUAGCUGGUUGCUUCUGGGGCAUUUGAGCUGGAUACAACACUGCUUGAGGCUGCUUAGGAUAACUGUCCGGUAGAGUCUGCUGUUGGGUCAUGGCGGCCGGUUGCUUUUCCUGCUGGGGCAUUUGAGCUGGAUACCACAUUUUCUGAGGCUGCUUAGGAUAACUGUCCGGUAGAGUCUGCUGUUGGGUCAUGGCGGCCGGUUGCUUUUCCUGCUGGGGCAUUUGAGCUGGAUACCACAUUUUCUGAGGUGCCUGGGGCAUGUGGACCAGUUGCUUUUGCAGGAUGACGGCCGGAUGCUUCUGUUGCUCUUCGGUCAGCUGCGCUUGCAUUUGAGCUGUUGGAGAGUUGUAAUUACCAUAUCCUUUAGACCUAAGUGAGCCGGCAUAGAGCCAUGCUGCAUCAGAACCUAGUGCAGGAUACCCAUCACCUAGGUUAGAAAAAGAGAAAAAUAGUAAAAUGCCAGCCUUUGAAGUUAUUGGAAAUUAAUGUGUAGAAACUCACUUGAUGUAGAACAGGUUAUCCCUCCAAUUAGCAGGCAACAAAGCCAAG